rnacentral:SRP_RNA from 20 species
GUCGCCAACCCGGUCAGGUCCGGAAGGAAGCAGCCGUAACGA